AAAGGGUCCGCAGGCGGAUUUAUAAGUCAGUGGUGAAAUCCUAUCGCUUAACGAUAGAACUGCCAUUGAUACUGUAAGUCUUGAAUUCGGUCGGAGUGGGCGGAAUGUGUAGUGUAGCGGUGAAAUGCAUAGAUAUUACACAGAACACCGAUAGCGAAGGCAGCUCACUAGGCCUGAAUUGACGCUCAGGGACGAAAGCGUGGGGAUCAAACAGGAUUAGAUACCCCGGU
rnacentral:rRNA from 1 species